UCAGUCUCAUUAUUACCUCUAAGUCAACUAAAUAAAUUUUAGUUAAAUUCUUUCCUUCCUUCGAAAAAAAAUAAAAAUAAGAACAACUAAAUUAAUCCCUUUUUUGCUGCAAAUCACUGAGUUACAGAGUUUAACCCUAGAGUCACUACUCACGAGAGUCACAACUAAAAACCCCCAAUUCUCUCUCUUUCUCUAUCAUUUGCUCACUUUCUCCAUCACUCUGCCUCCGCAACCGUCAUCGUCGCUCACAUCGCCGGAUUUCUUGAACACCGGCACCGGCGCAAAUUCUCUAUAUAUAACAAGCUCAUAUUCUUCAAGCGCAAGAGGAGACUAAUCUCCAUGUUUCCUGUGCUGCUCUGCUCUGCUAUUUGGAUCGGAUCGGUUUAAAUAUUUGUUUCCUCUUCUUUCCGUUUCUAAUAUGGUUCAUCAUUUUGGAAUCUUAACUAGCAAAGAAUCACCUCAGGAACAUUGAAAACCAACCUUUAUUUUUAAGGAAAAAGAGAUCUGUGCUGAUGCCUCAGUCGUUGUUAUCAACACUUUGUUAUCAACACUGAAGUCACCGAUGCUGAUGUUGCUGCUGUUGAAUGUUCCUAUUAACGCUAAUCCCAACUUUGUACAUUUAAAAUACUUUCUUUUGGGAUAAAAUUGUAAUAUUUGUUACAAUAAUUAUUUUUGAAAAUAUUCAAGUUUAAAUGUAUGUAUGUGUAUUUGUUUCAAUUUAGAGGAAAAAAACCCUCUUUUUAAUGGGCAUAUUAGGCAAUGUUUCAUGUAAGAACCGCUGCCUUUCAUCAUGAAAGGCACCAAGCGUUUAGGUACUGGUGUCUUUGUGGUUUUUAUACUAGAAAUUGUCUAUUGCAAAAA